UGGGGAAUUUUGGACAAUGGGGGCAACCCUGAUCCAGCAAUGCCGCGUGCAGGAAGAAGGCCUUAGGGUUGUAAACUGCUUUUGUAUGUAACGAAAAGCCUGAUGAUAAUACCAUUGGGUCAUGACGGUAACAUAAGAAUAAGCACCGGCUAACUACGUGCCAGCAGCCGCGGUAAUACGUAGGGUGCGAGCGUUAAUCGGAAUUACUGGGCGUAAAGCGUACGCAGGCGGCUUUGUAAGACAGAUGUGAAAUCCCUGGGCUCAACCUAGGAAUUGCAUUUGUGACUGCAAGGCUAGAGUAUGGUAGAGGGAGAUGGAAUUCCGCGUGUAGCAGUGAAAUGCGUAGAUAUGCGGAGGAACACCGAUGGCGAAGGCAGUCUUCUGGGCCAUUACUGACGCUCAUGUACGAAAGCGUGGGGAGCAAACAGG
rnacentral:rRNA from 1 species